CUGUAAUGAUGACUACUUAGGACACCUUUGGAUUAAUGAUGAAAAGAAUUGAAUGUUAACUGAGCAGC